GAUGAACGCUGGCGGCGUGCCUAAUACAUGCAAGUCGAGCGAACAGAUAAGGAGCUUGCUCCUUUGACGUUAGCGGCGGACGGGUGAGUAACACGUGGGUAACCUACCUAUAAGACUGGGAUAACUUCGGGAAACCGGAGCUAAUACCGGAUAACAUUUGGAACCGCAUGGUUCUAAAGUGAAAGAUGGUUUUGCUAUCACUUAUAGAUGGACCCGCGCCGUAUUAGCUAGUUGGUAAGGUAACGGCUUACCAAGGCGACGAUACGUAGCCGACCUGAGAGGGUGAUCGGCCACACUGGAACUGAGACACGGUCCAGACUCCUACGGGAGGCAGCAGUAGGGAAUCUUCCGCAAUGGGCGAAAGCCUGACGGAGCAACUCCGCGUGAGUGAUGAAGGGUUUCGGCUCGUAAAACUCUGUUAUUAGGGAAGAACAAAUGUGUAAGUAACUGUGCACGUCUUGACGGUACCUAAUCAGAAAGCCACGGCUAACUACGUG
rnacentral:rRNA from 1 species